GGUCACAUGUGGCGCGGAGCCGGGGUAGCGGGAUGGGUGGAAGUGUUAAGCGGGAUUCAGGGGGGGAAAGCGCGCGUAGGUGGUUCAGCAAGUUGGAAGUGAAAGCCCCGGGCGCAACAUGUGAACUGCCUGCAAAACUAGUGAGCUAGAGUACGGUAGGAGGUAGUGGAAUUGCCUGUGGAGCGGUGAAAUGCGUAGAGAGAGGAAGGAACACCAGUGGCGAAGGCGACUACCUGGACUGAUACUGACACUGAGGUGCGAAAGCGUGGGGAGCAAACAGGAUUAGAUACCCCAGUAGUC
rnacentral:rRNA from 1 species